UUUUCCCCACUGACACUGCUGUGCGCAUCGGACUUUUGCUGAUUUUCGUUCAUCAAACGUCUCCAAAUCACACCAAAAUGUCUUCCAGCAAUUAUUCUAGCGAUGAAAUUUCAUCAAGAGAUAGUGACUCCUCAUACUCCGAUGCCUCCUUAUCCCAUUUUAGUGAUUCUUCCCAAGAAAACGAGCCCGACUAAUGUUCAAAAUAUUACUAGUCCCACUCGUAGAGAAACGAGUUUGUUGUCGAAUUACGGACCAUCGACGAGCGGAACUGGCCCCAGAAAACAGCUAAAAAGGAAUCAGAAAACACAACGCAAGAAGAAGAGCAAGUCUUCCAAGUCCGAGAGUGUGUCUGCGAGGUAUGUCCUUACUAAGUAGAAAUCUAAAUCUAUUGUUGAUAAUUUUUUUGGGUUUAUUUAUUUCAUGUUUGUUAGUUAAGAUCUGACAUCAAAAUAUUAGAGUAGUUUACCUCAUCAUAUUAUGCUAGAACAAUAAUUUGCAGGUGGCACAAGUUCUACCUAGAUCUACAUUAUUUUUCUCUUUCCUUUUUAUUUUUUUCUUCAACAAAUUGUUCCUUUACUAUUUUCUUUUCUGUGUUUUAUGUUUUAUUUUAUGUAUGUUCACCCAAUAUAUCUAAGAAUAAAAUAACUCUAAUUAAUUGCCUACCUGAGUGGUUUACAUUUUAUGCACCUUGACAGCUCUUUGAUGACUCCGUUGUUUCACCAUCCGUUCGUCGUCAGCCUGGCAUCUUUUUUGCUAUCAUACUUUUGUACACACAUGUUCUGUGCCUUUGAAUUUUUCAUUAUGAAAUACAUAAAUACUUGUACUAAGUAUUAAUUGCAUGUUCAUAAAUGUACCAAUGCAUGAUUAUUCUAACCCCUAACUCACAUUUCAUUUAUAUCUUUACAGAUCAAUUGAAACUAAUCAAGCUACAAUGUACAUGUAACGUACAACCACCAUUCGAUGCCUGUGAACAGCAUGACCAACAUCUGUAUCCUUUACAUUAGUAUUUGUUUCCAUUUUAUUAUGUAAUUCUUAUGUCUAAUCAUUGAGAUUCAUAGGCAAGUACAACAUGUAUGUGUACACAAUGAGUGCCUGCAUAUUGUGAAGAUAAAGGACCAUAAGACCAUUACUUAUGAUACAUGGUAAUGAUGGUAUACUUUGUAAAACUAUUUGAAAAUAGUAGCAUGUAAGUCUGUCAUUUUCUUGUUUAUAUAUAUCUCAAUGACAUGACAUGUCAUUGAUUUUGUAGUAAGUGUUUCUAGAUUAUGAUGAUUGUAUUAAGAUUUUGACAGUUCAAUUGAGAUUGAGUAACAUGUCAACUGUACAAUAGAGCAUGCAUGCAUUGUUGAAAAAUCUGUUUUAGGAUUUAUUUUAUUUUGUUAUCUUUGUAAAUAACGAGAAUUUUUUUUUUACUUGUCAUGAUUUUCUUGAGGUUUGAAAAUGUUAUUACAUUAUUAAGAGCACUUUGCAAUUAAAUUGUAAUAAAAGAGACAGAAAACAACACUCUCAUGUCAAGAAUACUGCUUUAUUUGGUUACUAGUGAGGGAGAGAGCUUGUGAUCGCCUGGCAUAUCCACAUCGGCUCAGUAAUAGUCCUGAAACUCACCUGAAUACUUUAUUUGAACAAAAAUAGAAAGCUACAUUCUAGGUGGAUGAUAUUUUUUUAAGGCGGAGGCAUAUAGGAGACGCAGUCGCAUUUGUCUUGUUUUUUUUUUUUAGAGUAUAAUCAUAGCAAACCAUGAACAACUCUAUUACUACAACAUGUACACUACAGUACUUAACCAAAGAUUGUAAAUAUCAGUUAAGUUCUUUUAUUUAUUUGCUUAUAUGAACACACAUACUAUACUAAACUCAUGUCAUUGUGUUUACCUCUCGAAAAUAAAGUACAUGUAUUUUAUUUGA